GAGAACUUAGCAGAGAUGCUUGGUGCCUUCGGGAACUCUGAGACAGGUGCUGCAUGGCUGUCGUCAGCUCGUGUUGUGAAAUGUUGGGUUAAGUCCCGCAACGAGCGCAACCCUUAUCCUUUGUUGCCAGCGGUUCGGCCGGGAACUCAAAGGAGACUGCCGGUGAUAAACCGGAGGAAGGUGGGGAUGACGUCAAGUCAUCAUGGCCCUUACGGCCAGGGCUACACACGUGCUACAAUGGCGCAUACAAAGAGAAGCGACCUCGCGAGAGCAAGCGGACCUCAUAAAGUGCGUCGUAGUCCGGAUUGGAGUCUGCAACUCGACUCCAUGAAGUCGGAAUCGCUAGUAAUCGUAGAUCAGAAUGCUACGGUGAAUACGUUCCCGGGCCUUGUACACACCGCCCGUCACACCAUGGGAGUGGGUUGCAAAAGAAGUAGGUAGCUCAACCUUCGGGAGGGCGCUUACCACUUUGUGAUUCAUGACUGGGGUGAAGUCGUAACAAGGUAAGCGUAGCGAG
rnacentral:rRNA from 1 species